rnacentral:rRNA from 1 species
UGGGGAAUUUUACGCAAUGGGCGAAAGCCUGACGUAGCGACACCGCGUGAGCGAAGAAGCCUUUUGGGGUGUAAAGCUCUGUCAGCUGGAAAGAACACAAUGACGGUACCAGCAGAGGAAGCAUCGGCUAACUACGUGCCAGCAGCCGCGGUAAGACGUAGGAUGCAAGCGUUGUCCGGAUUUAUUGGGCGUAAAGAGUUCGUAGGCUGUUUGUUAAGUCUGGUGUUAAAGACUGAGGCCCAACCUCGGAAAUGCAUCGGAUACUGGCAGACUUGAGUACGGUAGAGGCGAGUGGAAUUCCCAGUGUAGCGGUGAAAUGCGUAGAUAUUGGGAAGAACACCGGUGGCGUAGGCGACUCGCUGGGCCGCAACUGACGCUGAGGAACGAAAGCCAGGGGAGCGAAUGGG